GACGAACGCUGGCGGCGUGCCUAAUACAUGCAAGUCGAGCGCAGGAAACUGACGGAACUCUUCGGAGGGAAGGCAGCGGAAUGAGCGGCGGACGGGUGAGUAACACGUAAGGAACCUGCCUCAAGGAUUGGGAUAACUCCGAGAAAUCGGAGCUAAUACCGGAUAGUUCAUCGGACCGCAUGGUCCGUUGAUGAAAGGCGCUUCGGCGUCACCUUGAGAUGGCCUUGCGGUGCAUUAGCUAGUUGGUGGGGUAACGGCCCACCAAGGCGACGAUGCAUAGACGACCUGAGGGGGUGAUCGGGCACACUGGGAAUGAGACACGGCCCAGACUCCUACGGGAGGCAGCAGUAGGGAAUCUUCCACAAUGGACGAAAGUCUGAUGGAGCAACGCCGCGUGAGUGAUGAAGGUUUUCGGAUCGUAAAACUCUGUUGUAAGGGAAGAACACGUACGAGAGGAAAUGCUCGUACCUUGACGGUACCUUACGAGAAAGCCACGGCUAACUACGUGCCAGCCGCCGCCGUAACAC
rnacentral:rRNA from 1 species